rnacentral:rRNA from 1 species
GACGAACGCUGGCGGCGUGCCUAAUACAUGCAAGUUGAGCGCUGAAGGUUGGUACUUGUACCAACUGGAUGAGCAGCGAACGGGUGAGUAACGCGUGGGGAAUCUGCCUUUGAGCGGGGGACAACAUUUGGAAACGAAUGCUAAUACCGCAUAAAAACUUUAAACACAAGUUUUAAGUUUGAAAGAUGCAAUUGCAUCACUCAAAGAUGAUCCCGCGUUGUAUUAGCUAGUUGGUGAGGUAAAGGCUCACCAAGGCGAUGAUACAUAGCCGACCUGAAAGGGGGAUCGGCCACAUUGGGACUGAGACACGGCCCAAACUCCUACGAGAGGCAGCAGUAGGGAAUCUUCGGCAAUGGACGAAAGUCUGACCGAGCAACGCCGCGUGAGUGAAGAAGGUUUUCGGAUCGUAAAACUCUGUUGGUAGAGAAGAACGUUGGUGAGAGUGGAAAGCUCAUCAAGUGACGGUAACUACCCAGAAAGGGACGGCUAACUACGUG